AACGCUGGCGGCGUGCCUAAUACAUGCAAGUAGAACGCUGAAGGAGGAGCUUGCUUCUCCGGAUGAGUUGCGAACGGGUGAGUAACGCGUAGGUAACCUGCCUGGUAGCGGGGGAUAACUAUUGGAAACGAUAGCUAAUACCGCAUAAGAGUAGAUGUUGCAUGACAUUUGCUUAAAAGGUGCAAUUGCAUCACUACCAGAUGGACCUGCGUUGUAUUAGCUAGUUGGUGGGGUAACGGCUCACCAAGGCGACGAUACAUAGCCGACCUGAGAGGGUGAUCGGCCACACUGGGACUGAGACACGGCCCAGACUCCUACGGGAGGCAGCAGUAGGGAAUCUUCGGCAAUGGACGGAAGUCUGACCGAGCAACGCCGCGUGAGUGAAGAAGGUUUUCGGAUCGUAAAGCUCUGUUGUAAGAGAAGAACGAGUGUGAGAGUGGAAAGUUCACACUGUGACGGUAUCUUACCAGAAAGGGACGGCUAACUACGUGCCAGCAGCCGCGGUAAUACGUAGGUCCCGAGCGUUGUCCGGAUUUAUUGGGCGUAAAGCGAGCGCAGGCGGUUAGAUAAGUCUGAAGUUAAAGGCUGUGGCUUAACCAUAGUACGCUUUGGAAACUGUUUAACUUGAGUGCAAGAGGGGAGAGUGGAAUUCCAUGUGUAGCGGUGAAAUGCGUAGAUAUAUGGAGGAGCACCGGUGGCGAAAGCGGCUCUCUGGCUUGUAACUGACGCUGA
rnacentral:rRNA from 1 species